CUGUGAUACAGACCGGGGUGCUCUGACCCUCUGGCAGGCUCAAGGCCGGCCUCAUUGCGGGCUGACCUUCCUUCCUCGUGUCCUGCAGCUGCGUCCCUUACCCUUACCCCAAAUAAACCACCUUCCCUCCAUCCUGACCCGAGGCCCUCUCCUUUCCCAGGACAAUGGAGGCCGGCAGAACCCCCUGGAUGACCUGUUCAAUUCCCACACAAGCGAUGACUUCUAGAGUUUCCAGGGGCCUACUUUUGUGUCUGAGGAGCUCCCUGAAGGACCCUGCAGCUGGGCCAGCAGAGAGCCAUCAUCCCCGGUGCCCUACUGUGGUUCAGGUGGUGUGGAACGGAGGUGUGGUGCUCUCUGUCAGCCCCGGGCCCUACCUUUGGGUCCGUUUGACUUCUCUGUUGCUGUGAUGCCCAUAUUAUCAGAACAUGAAAAAGUCAUUCCACUCAGGAUUUGGGACUGGCCAUGGCACAGUUAGCAAAACCAAUGGCCUGAGGGUUUUUCACCCUGCAUCAUGGAUCUUGUAACUCUUACCUCCCUUCGCCCUGCAUGGAUCUUGUAACUCUUACCUCCCUUUGCCCUGCAUGGAUCUUGUAACUCUUACCUCCCUCUGAUUCCUUGAAACAGUAACCAUAGAGUAUUCAAAUAAUUGCCAUGUAGGCUGCCUUCUGCCAACUGGAAAUGUCUUUUCAGAAGCUCACACACCCUGGGCAAAUCCUUUCCUCUAGAAUGAGUCCCUUGCUGUCCCUACCUGGGAAUUCCACUUCAGAAGAGGCUCUACUGAGCACUUGGGAAAAGCUCGCAUUGGCAUAUUUGCUAGUGUUUUCCAUAAAACCAAAACGUUUAAGUAGAAUAAAUAUCCAACAAAAACUAAAUUAAGUGUAUCCAUACACAGGAGCAUAUGCGGUUUUAACUUGGUAGCACAUUUGCUUACAGAUUUUCAUAUAAUACAUUGUUAGGUUAAAAAUCCAGUUUCUGACUGAACCAUAUGCAUCAUAUGACCCUGUUUUUGUAAUAAAACUGUAUUUAUAUUUACAGUUUGCAAAUGUCUAUGUAUGUAUGUGUAUAAAAAUAUAUCUGGAAGGACACAAAUCAAAAUUGAAGAAGCACUUAUAUCUGG
rnacentral:lncRNA from 10 species